ACUUCACAAGGUAACUGGCUAGUACUCUUCAAAAGUGUCAAAGUUAUAAAAAAAAACAAAGACUGAGGAGCUAUCCCAGAUUGGAGGAACCCAAGAAGACAUAAAAACUAAAUGCAACGUGGAAUCCUAGGUUAGAUCCUGAACCAGCAAAAAACACAGUAUGACAACUUCAAAUUUUGAAUAAGGCAUAAUUAUAUUAGGUAAAGACACACUCAUGCUGGACAAAAGCCAACUGAGAUAAAAAGGAAUGGCUGGAAAUAGAGGCUAAAGCCUUGGGAAAUAACUUCUCCCAUUUGGAUAUAUUUAGAACCUGGCUUGAAACUUUACUUCUGCAACUUCUGGAUUGAGAAGGAAGAUGCUGACAAAAGGUAGAUCUUUAGAGGUUUACAUUGAUAUGUAAGAGAAUGUGUUUUUAAAUUUGGAGAAAUAUCCCCAAAGGAGUUAUGAAUUCCACUUUUUUAAAGAAUGAAUUUGAGAUCCAGGAAAAGAUGGCAGCCCACUGAAGGGUAAGUGUACCUCCUGCUAAUAAUCAGAAGCUCCAGCUCCAGGACAGAAGAAGCCGAGGAGGACUGAGCAGGCAACAAAGAAGCAGGUGGCAGAAGCAACUUGAUAUUUAAGGGUGACUGGGGAGAGGGCACAGCAUGGCACAGAGCUCUGUGCUCCAAGAAAAGCCACACUUUCUAGUCUCUACCCUAAAAAGGGCUCACAGUGCUUAUCCUACAUCUCAUCCAAGCUGAAAGAAGAAACAGGAGUGGAGAAGAUCACAUGACAUCUGGCCAAAAAUGUUUUAAAAGCUACAUUCACCAGGUGGAGGAUGUGUGUGCAUGUGUGUGUGUAAAGGGGAAUUAUUAUUUUAAAAAAACAACACCAAUUCCACAACACAACAACAACAAAACCCCAAUCAGAAAAUUGAAGAGGCCUGUGUAACCCAGUCCCUACAGUGAAGAGGCUGGAGGCUGUGGAGUAGGCCCCAGGGGAGUUGGUGGGGGUCAGAAGUCACCAUGCUGAGGGCCACAUAGAGAGUGCCAAGUUCUAUUGGACCCAGGCAGUGACCCAGACCCCAGUCCUUGGGCUGCUGGGCUGAGGGAACACCAGGCUUCCUUCCAACUGAAGGGGCCUGCAGUCUCCUCCUCCAGGCUGCAGCAGAUACACAAUCCAGAAACCAGUCUGGCCUAGACAGGACCAUGACCUUCCCCUUUCCAUGCUGCUCAAAGACCACCAGACCAUCCCUGAAAUUGAGAAGGGCAAUGAUACAGUGAAAAGACCCUUGUCUUUGGAAAUGACCAACCAAAAGGAGAAGCUAAAUAUCAAGUAAGAACAUCUGAUGAACAAAGUCGUGGCAAACCCUAAGGAUACCAGCUUCCCGGAGGCUCGAAUUAUUCCCUUGACCAAGGCCCACAAUUAUGAAGAACAUGGCAGAAAAACUGAAAGAACAAAACCCACAAAUACUAUCUGGUGAUGGGCACUGUCCAGAGGAAAAAGAUGCUCAAAAACCUUCGUUAGACCAAUAUGAUGUCUCUGAGAGGACACACUGGGGAUUGAGCACACCUUUUUGAUGGAGCAGCCCAUUGCCAAGUCCUGACUGAGAAGACUGUGCGUUCUGGAUGUUCCAAGAGACUCAAAAGCUGAAGAAGCAAAAACAGGCUUUAAAAGUUGCAGCAGCAGCAGUAGCUCAAAACAAGACCAGAGGAAUGCAGAGAGCCCUGCCAAAACCUGACCAGAAGUACUCAAAGAAAAUAAAUUGUUAAAUAUUUUUUUGAAAAAAGAAAACUGAAGACAUUCUCUAAAUAAGGUACAAAAAUGGGCAACAAAUACAUAAAAGAUGCUCAACCUCACUAAUCAUUAGAGAAACACAAAUCAAAACCAUAAGGAGAUACCACCUUAUACCUGCUAAGAUCAAUACUAUUUUAAAAAACAGAAAAUAAUAAUCAUUGGCAAGGAUGUGGAGAAACUGGAACUGUCAUGCACUAUUGCUAGGAAUGUAAAAUGGUAUAGCCCCUGUGGAAAUUAUUAUGGCAGUUCCUCAAAAAAAAAUCAAAAA